CCAGGCACACAACUUGGAAAUAAACAAGCUUUAUUUUCAGUUUCAACAGGUAAGGCGAUACCUACUUCAUCGUGUGCUUUUAUGUAAAUGCCAAAUAGCAAAAUAACAGCUAGAAAAUAAACAGUUUGUCAGUUUGAAGAUCAAGUACUUUAUCUAUCUUGAGUGUUAUCUAUCUUGGAAUUUAGCCAGGCCUAAAAGUAGCGGAAGUAUCAGGAAAUGCUAUAGAGAGCCAGUCUCCAGCUGCAGGUUGGUGGGCCUGGCACUGACCAGAUGCGGGUGGCUCAAAGCACCAAGCGAUGCAGGCGCCGUUUCUGCAUUGCCUGCAGCCUCUUCUGCCUCUCGGCAAAGUUGUUCUUCGGGGUCUGCUUCAGUGCGGGCAGGAUGGCACGCUCCGCCACAGGUGGGCUCAGAAGCAGGCUGGGGGCGGGUAGAGGGACUGUCACCGUGAGCAUCCCCGGGAGUGGAGUGUGUGGGGAGUGCAGCCUGCAUGGCCCUCACAGGGGCACAGAGAGGCCUCAGCGAGCUCUGCUUCUGCGCUGCCACCCUCCCUUCCCCACUCCCUCCCUGGGGCCCAGGCUGCAGGGCUGAAGUGUUGGAAUUACAGGCGUGAGCCGCCGCGCCCGGGCCCCUCUGUAAAGUUUUUAACAGAGGUGUGUCUGACCCUGCCUGGAGAGGAGAGGACUGGCCGAGUCAGCAUCUGAAAUGCUGCUGCCCUACGAGACAGGCAGACAGGGUCGGCAGUGCCCGGGGGCCACGCAGGUCUCCCUCUGGGAGGAGGGGACAGCUCAGCGUGGCAGGGCGGGCUUACUGUCCUGUGUUCCCCCUGAGCCCAGGCGUGUGCUGGAGUUGAUGGCUGUGUUUCUGUGCUGCGGGAGCGGCAGUGUUGAGUGUGCCUGGGGAGGCAGGGCCGGCCUAGGGCCCCGCGCCGGCUCACCCUUGUUUUCCC
rnacentral:lncRNA from 1 species